rnacentral:rRNA from 1 species
AGUGAACGCUGGCGGCGUGCCUAAUACAUGCAAGUCGAACGGACAAGUAAGAGCUUGCUCUUAUGAGUUAGUGGCGCACGGGUGAGUAAUGUAUAGCUAAUCUGCCCUACACUAGAGGACAACAGUUGGAAACGACUGCUAAUACUCUAUACACCUCUCUAGCAUAAGUUAGAUAGGGAAAGUUUUUCGGUGUAGGAUGAGGCUAUAUUGUAUCAGCUAGUUGGUGAGGUAAUGGCUCACCAAGGCUAUGACGCAUAACUGGUCUGAGAGGAUGAUCAGUCACACUGGAACUGAGACACGGUCCAGACUCCUACGGGAGGCAGCAGUAGGGAAUAUUGCUCAAUGGGGGAAACCCUGAAGCAGCAACGCCGCGUGGAGGAUGACACUUUUCGGAGCGUAAACUCCUUUUGUUAGGGAAGAACAAUGACGGUACCUAACGAAUAAGCACCGGCUAACUCCGUGCCAGCAGCCGCGGUAAUACGGAGGGUGCAAGCGUUACUCGGAAUCACUGGGCGUAAAGGACGCGUAGGCGGAUUAUCAAGUCUCUUGUGAAAUCCUAUGGCUUAACCAUAGAACUGCUUGGGAAACUGAUAAUCUAGAGUGAGGGAGAGGCAGAUGGAAUUGGUGGUGUAGGGGUAAAAUCCGUAGAGAUCACCAGGAAUACCCAUUGCGAAGGCGAUCUGCUGGAACUCAACUGACGCUAAUGCGUGAAAGCGUGGGGAGCAAACAGG